AAUCACCUUGUUUCUCUCCGUAUGUAGGUCUUACUUCCUUAGCACUAGUCAUAGUCUUUGGAGAUGCUAUUCAUAACCUAGCGGAUGGAUUAGCCAUUGGCGCAGCAUUUUCUGGAAAUUUAAAAGGAGGACUCUCCACGUCGUUAGCAGUACUCUGUCACGAGCUUCCCCACGAAUUCGGGGAUUUUGUAGUUCUGUUAUCUACUGGAUUGAGCUUCAGAAAAGCCUUACUGUUAAAUUUCAUCUCGGCGCUGACGUGUUUCAUAGGAUUAUAUAUCGGGAUUGAACUUGGAGAGGAUGAAGUUGCCAGGAAAUGGAUACUGACUAUUACUGCUGGCAUCUUUCUGUACGUUGCUCUUGGCGAUAUGUUACCUGAAUUGAAGCAGAAGAAAGGAAACAACCAGAUCAAGAUGAUAUUGGUGAAAAACGUCGGUGUACUGAUGGGUUUUUUAUUUAUGGUUCUUAUUGCGAUUUUUGAAGAAAGGUUUGCCCUUUAGUGUACAUGUUUAAAACGGGUAGUCGUAAAAAAGGGGGUUUAGACAGUUUUAAACUUCGUAUUUUAAAGCCAAAAUUUCUCGGUGGUAAAUUAUAUGAUUAGUAAGUUUUACAGAGAGACAAAUUUCGAGAGGUUGUGGCAUGAUGAUUUAUAGGCGAUAGUCAACAUGAUGAACUGCUUCUAGUAAAAUAGGCCUAAGCUGUAAUUGUUAUAAAUAAAAGUAAUUUUUACAUUUAGAAAACCUUUUCUUGUGUCUGAAGUCAAUACUGUCAGUUUAUUCAAGCAGGAUUUCGCCUAUAUGUAU